GGUAGGAUGGCUGAGAGAAAAGCGGUGGUUUGUAGCCCCAUAUACAGAGGUUUAAGUCCUCUUCCUAUCA
rnacentral:tRNA from 1 species